GACUUGUGUGUGGACCCAGAAUAUAAAUAGCUUUAAGGAGCUAGGCUCCUCACUACAACAGAAUUAGAUUAUAGGGACAUAUGUUUGGGACACUUUUGAGUAAGUGUCCUAUUUAUGCUAAAAUUUAAAAACACAUCUACUAAUGCCUAAAUAUAAAAUCCAAUCCAAUCAAAAAUAAAAGAUUAUUCUACUCAACCCACCACACUCAGUCCAUUUGGCCCGAUUACAAACAGAAAAGAAAAAAAAAAAAAUCAAGUACCAUCUUUUCUUCUCUCUUCACUCAAUCCACUGAAAUUCUAGAUGAAGAGUCUUUACUGUCGUCCUCCUCCGCCACCGCAGCCAACGAGAUAGAGUUUCGGUCGUUGCUAAAUGUUUAAAUAAGUGUUGAUAAAUUAGCAGCAUUCUUUUAGAUUGUAGCGACACUCUUUAACUGUCACUAUAUACCUAGCGACCCCACAUAUAGCAACACUUUUUAAAAGUGUCGGUAAUUUUAGCUAGCAGCACUUUUUUGACAUGUACCUAUAUUUAAAAGUGUCGCUAUAGACCAUCUUUGUUGUAGUGCCUAUAAUUAAUAUCUAUAAUAUCAAAGU
rnacentral:lncRNA from 1 species